rnacentral:rRNA from 1 species
AUUGAACGCUGGCGGCAGGCCUAACACAUGCAAGUCGAACGAGUGGCGGACGGGUGAGUAAUGUCUGGGAAACUGCCUGCUGGAGGGGGAUAACUACUGGAAACGGUAGCUAAUACCGCAUACCAUCGGAUGUGCCCAGAUGGGAUUAGCAAGUAGGUGGGGUAAAGGCUCACCUAUGCAACGAUCCCGAGCUGGUCUGAGAGGCGUGCCAGGCACACGUGAACUGUGACACGGUCCAGACUCCUAGGGGAGGCCGCAGUGGGGAAGAUGGCACUAUGGGCGCAAGCCUGAUGCAGCCAUGCCGCGUGUAUGAGGAAGGCCUGCGGGUUGUAAAGUACUUUCAGCGGGGAGGCGUUACCCGCAGAAGAAGCACCGGCUAACUCCGUGCCAGCAGCCGCGGUAAUAC